rnacentral:tRNA from 1 species
GCGCCCGUAGCUCAGCUGGAUAGAGCACGGGACUUCGGAUCCCGGGGUCGGGGGUUCAAAUCCCUCCGGGCGCGCCA